UACGUAGGGUGCAAGCGUUGUCCGGAAUUAUUGGGCGUAAAGAGCUCGUAGGCGGUCUGUCGCGUCUGCUGUGAAAACCUAGGGCUUAACUCUGGGCGUGCAGUGGGUACGGGCAGGCUAGAGUGCGGUAGGGGAGACUGGAAUUCCUGGUGUAGCGGUGAAAUGCGCAGAUAUCAGGAGGAACACCGGUGGCGAAGGCGGGUCUCUGGGCCGUAACUGACGCUGAGAAGCGAAAGCAUGGGGAGCGAACAGG
rnacentral:rRNA from 1 species